rnacentral:hammerhead_ribozyme from 1 species
AUCCAGCUGACAAAUCCCAAAUAGGAAAUAACGCGCGUCCUGGAU